rnacentral:rRNA from 1 species
CCUACGGGAGGCUGCAGUGGGGAAUUGUUCGCAAUGGGCGCAAGCCUGACGACGCAACGCCGCGUGGAGGACGAAGAUCUUCGGGUCGUAAACUCCUGUCGAGCGGGACGAACACCUUCCGGGUGAACAAUCCGGGAGGCUGACGGUACCGCUAAAGGAAGCCCCGGCUAACUCCGUGCCAGCAGCCGCGGUAAUACGGGGGGGGCAAGCGUUGUUCGGAAUUACUGGGCGUAAAGGGCUCGUAGGCGGCCGGCUAAGUCGGAUGUGAAAUCCCCAGGCUCAACCUGGGAACUGCAUCCGAUACUGGCGGGCUUGAAUCCGGGAGAGGGAUGCGGAAUUCCAGGUGUAGCGGUGAAAUGCGUAGAUAUCUGGAGGAACACCGGUGGCGAAGGCGGCAUCCUGGACCGGCAUUGACGCUGAGGAGCGAAAGCCAGGGGAGC